rnacentral:rRNA from 1 species
UACGGAGGGUGCAAGCGUUAUCCGGAUUCACUGGGUUUAAAGGGUGCGUAGGAGGGCAGGUAAGUCAGUGGUGAAAUCUUCGAGCUUAACUCGGAAACUGCCGUUGAUACUAUCUGUCUUGAAUACCGUGGAGGUGAGCGGAAUAUGUCAUGUAGCGGUGAAAUGCUUAGAUAUGACAUAGAACACCAAUUGCGAAGGCAGCUCGCUACACGAAUAUUGACUCUGAGGCACGAAAAGCGUGGGGGAUCAAAACAGG